ACCCUUUCAACUUAGUAGUGGAGUAACGCCAUGGUAAGGUGUAAGACAUCGGUUCAAGUCCGGUAAAGGGCU
rnacentral:tRNA from 1 species